AGUCAUUCGCUAACAACCUUGGCUCUUUCAUUUUAGUUCCGCCCUGUUGGGGAAGGGAAGUGCGUGGUCCCGCCCCAGCAGCGUGCCUGUUUGUAAAAGCUGGAGUGUACCAAGCAAUAUGAGAGAGAGUCGCGGCAGUCUAGGGAAUGAGAGAAUGCGGAGCGCUCAAAUUCAAGUCGUCACCAUAGCCGAGGAGAUGGGGAGGUAUAAAUGAAGCAAGCAAAGACAUUCAGGAUUGUGAGAGCACAGAGGCUUGGCCGUAGAAGGUCAAACUUCCAAGGCUGUGAAUCCAGAAGGUUCCCGAUUGUUCACCUGCUCAAGGGCUGCCUUAUGAGAUACAUUGCUUGGUAGCAGGCCAGGGAGUUAGUUGGUCAGCUGAAUUGGAGGAAGAUUUUCCUUGUUCUUGGCAAUGGCAUGGUGACCUCUUGCUACUGAAUGAGGACUGCUUCCAAACCAAGCAUUGGGGAAAACUGGAACCAGAACUCUGGGAGACUGUUGCAGUGACACGUGGAAUCCAGGGUUUAGCAAAACGAAGGUGGAUAUCACUGUACCACACUUACACUCCAACAGUGUGCUGCUGGGUGAACAUGGCUGGACAGAACAUGUGGAUAAUGGACCCAGUCUAGGAUACCACAUUACAUUGUUGUCAUGUCUCCUUUGGCUUCUGUUGACUGUGGCAGUUUCGCAGAAUUUCUUUGUUUUGAUGACCUUGACGGUAUUGAGGAGUACCGCUCAGGAAUCUUUUUGAUGUGACCCAGUGUGUUCCUUUGAGAUCAUCGCCAAGAUGCUGCAAGUGGCAUCACUGCCGCGUACUGGAGAAGCAUGUGAGCGUCUGUAUGCAGAUGACAGUUCUAGGGACCUUUGGCUUUAAGUAGCUAUCUCUUCCCCAGACCCAUAUUCAGGUUCAAUCUACUCAUCAAUCUUUUUCUUCAAGACCAUAAAAAAAUCAGUGCUGGGUAUUAAGGAGGGCAUGUACUGCAUGGAGCACUGGGUGUUAUACGAAAACAAUGGAUCGUGGAUCACCACAUCAAAAAAAAUAAAAUAAUUUGCAAGAAGCAAAA